AGACGCUAUUCCCUAGGAUUAACCCAUGCAUGUUUUUGACAUUUGAAAAAUGGACUGCUCAGUAAUACUCACUUUAUUUUAUGUAAAUUUUUAAUUAACUACGUUAAAGUGUAGAUAAGAUGUUUACAGUAAGAGUGAGACCUAUCAGCUAGUUGUUAAGGUAAUGGCUUAACAAGGCUGUGACGGGUAACGGUAUUACUUUGUAAUAUUCCGGAGAAGGAGCCUGAGAGACGGCUACUAAGUCUAAGGAUUGCAGCAGGGGCGAAACUUGACCUAUGGAUUUUAUCUGAGGCAGUUAUGGGAAGUAAUAUUAUAUUGUUUCAUAUUUUAAAAGUAUAUGAGGUGAUUAAUUGGAGGGCAAAUCAAGUGCCAGCAGCCGCGGUAAUACUUGUUCCAAGAGUGUGUAUGAUGAUUGAUGCAGUUAAAAAGUCCGUAGUUUAUUUUUUAAGAAGCAAUAUGAGGUGUACUGUAUAGUUGGGAGAAAGAUGAAAUGUGACGACCCUGACAGGACGAAC
rnacentral:rRNA from 1 species